CUCCAAGUGCUGAGCCUGAUCUCCAGCUCGUGUGGAGCAGCGUGAGGCUCAAUGGGAUCAUUUUUUUGGUUGCCACCAGGUCCUGCUGGCUGUCUGUGUCCCCCUCAGGCCCUGGUGACGCCUCAGCAGGAGGAUGAGCCUUUGUGCAUGCUGGAUUCCUGCUGUCACCUCCCUUGUCACCUUGAUACUCUACCCUGUCCUCCUGCUGGCCCUUUACACCAUGCUCAGCAGGAAAAUUGCCCAGCAUUCCUGCAGGAUGCAGGUGAGCAGCAGCCCUGGGGAGCAUCCCAGCCCUCAGCCCAGCCCAGCUCCAGCCUCAGCACCAGGAGGGGACCUGGCACAGAAACAGCCUGGGGCACAAAAACAACCUGGGGCACAAAACCCAUCCCCAGCCUAUGCAGGUAAGGGGCUCUGCAGCCAUGGGGCGUUGUCCUGGCACGGGGAUGGGAGGUUUUGGGUGGUAUUUGUGUGAUGUCUCUUCCUUACGUGCUCUGGGGUGGGAAAAGGGCCAAGCAGGAGCUGCCCCCUGUUCCCACC
rnacentral:lncRNA from 1 species